GCAGCCGCGGUAAUACGUAGGUGGCGAGCGUUAUCCGGAAUUAUUGGGCGUAAAGAGCGCGCAGGUGGUUGAUUAAGUCUGAUGUGAAAGCCCACGGCUUAACCGUGGAGGGUCAUUGGAAACUGGUCGACUUGAGUGCAGAAGAGGGAAGUGGAAUUCCAUGUGUAGCGGUGAAAUGCGUAGAGAUAUGGAGGAACACCAGUGGCGAAGGCGGCUUCCUGGUCUGUAACUGACACUGAGGCGCGAAAGCGUGGGGAGCAAACAGGAUUAGAUACCCU
rnacentral:rRNA from 1 species